GAUGAACGCUGGCGGCGUGCCUAAUACAUGCAAGUCGAGCGAAUGGAUUAAGAGCUUGCUCUUAUGAAGUUAGCGGCGGACGGGUGAGUAACACGUGGGUAACCUGCCCAUAAGACUGGGAUAACUCCGGGAAACCGGGGCUAAUACCGGAUAACAUUUUGAACCGCAUGGUUCGAAAUUGAAAGGCGGCUUCGGCUGUCACUUAUGGAUGGACCCGCGUCGCAUUAGCUAGUUGGUGAGGUAACGGCUCACCAAGGCAACGCUGCGUAGCCGACCUGGGAGGGUGAUCGGCCACACUGGGCCUGGGACAUGGCCCAGACUCCUACGGGAGGCAGCAGUAGGGAAUCUUCCGCAAUGGACGAAAGUCUGACGGAGCAACGCCGCGUGAGUGAUGAAGGCUUUCGGGUCGUAAAACUCUGUUGUUAGGGAAGAACAAGUGCUAGUUGAAUAAGCUGGCACCUUGACGGUACCUAACCAGAAAGCCACGGCUAACUACGUGCCAGCAGCCGCAGUAA
rnacentral:rRNA from 1 species